rnacentral:rRNA from 1 species
UACGUAGGGGGCAAGCGUUGUCCGGAAUCAUUGGGCGUAAAGCGCGUGUAGGCGGCCCGGUAAGUCCGCUGUGAAAGUCGGGGGCUCAACCCUCGGAUGCCGGUGGAUACUGUCGGGCUAGAGUACGGGAGAGGCGAGUGGAAUUCCUGGUGUAGCGGUGAAAUGCGCAGAUAUCAGGAGGAACACCAAUUGCGAAGGCAGCUCGCUGGAACGUAACUGACGCUGAGACGCGAAAGCGUGGGGAGCAAACAGG